CACACGCACACUAUCAAAGCCUCAGAGUUACACAGCAUUACCCAUUUCUCUCAAGCAUUAGAGACAAAUACCAUUUGAGGUAAAUUAAAUCUCUUAUUAAACCUCACUGUAAAAAACAAAACAAAACAAAUUACAGCUUUGAUCUCUAGGCAGAUCAUACAGCUCAUGUUUGGUGCAAUGGAAAGCAGCAUUUACAAUUUCAUAAUUUUCACUGCUCCUUUCUAAAUCCCACAUGCCCUAAAGUGAAAUCAUAAUCACAACUGAAGCUGACCCGUAAGACAGUGUUCAAAAUUCUAAUCACUUCACCAAAAACAGAUGUCUAAAUUAAAUUCAGCUAGAAAUUCAUGAAAAAAAUGUCCAACUAGUUUCAUAUUUAUACAUAACACAAUAACCAUGACUUUUAGUAAAAACUCACCAUGAAGUGUUAAGACAGAGGAAAUUUAAAAAAUCAAACUGUGUAUCAAGAAGAAACGGGCAUUAAGAAAUUAUUAUUCAUUACUAUUACUGGUUAAAUGUUGCCUCAGACGAAAGAGCCUGGGAAUGGAAAAGGGUAAAGCAGGAAUUUCCUUUUCAUUAUCAACUUUUCUGUAUCAGUUGGUUUUUACAUCUUGUUCACACAUUACUUUGAUAAAAAGUUUUCAGAAGGUCCCUGUAUUAACAGUCUUUUGGUAUUUACAGAUGGCUACACACUACCUUCACAAGAGUGAUGGUCUGGGGCUGUCUGAACUUGACUUUACGUUUUCCCGUCAGGUAUAAAAUAUUAAGAUUAAAGUGCCACUAAAGGUCUCCUCCCUUCUUUGUAAGUGAGAGAGCAGCAUGAGCUGGACCUCUCGCAGGUGGUAGGGCUAGUUUUCCAAACGGGAACACCAGAGCUAUAAUCGCAGAUCUGAUGUUUUUUAAGGUAGGGAACUUUGCAGCCGGCAGCAAACGAGAGGUAAACAUUUAACUGGUAUUCCGACUGUUCCCCAACUUAACGACUUCUUGAUGACAUCCCAGUCUUUCCUAGGCCACAGUCAAAGGGGACGAUUCGGUCCGGGGCCCCAGCGGCGAAAGCUCCGCGGGGGCAGGACCGUCCCCCAGGCUCAGGCUCCACCCCGUCCCCUCCCCCCGACUCGCCGCCCUGACGCACGAGGCCUCCUGCAGCCUCUGCGCAGCUGGGUCCCGAACACGCCCGCGGCGGGCGUCAGGGCCUUUCUGCCGUUAGAAGGGCUCCCGGAACCGUCCCUUCGACGCGUGCUUCCCCCCAAGUCACCUCGAACACAGCUUCCCCAACUCCCGGUUACCAAUCGCCUCGGACGCAGGGCGCGGGCACGUUGGCUCGCGAGGCUCAUGGACGCGCCACGAGCAUGCGCUUCCGAGGCGACUCGCGGGGAACGCGCUUUUGUCGGUGACACCCAAGUGCGCAUGCGCACCGGCUGUUCUCUGAUUGGGAAACUAGUGCCUCUCCUGUUAGGCAUUCAGUGGAUGAAUAAAUCCACAGCCUUCCAUCUUACAGAGCUGUAGCAUUUCAGAGGUGGAAAAGACUGAGAAACUAGCUCGACCCUCCUCAUUUACAG
ensembl:lncRNA